UACGGGGGGAGCAAGCGUUGUUCGGAUUUACUGGGCGUAAAGGGCGCGUGAGGCGCCACGCAAGUCGAUUGUGAAAUCUCCGGGCUUAACCCGGAAAGGUCAACCGAUACUGCGGGGCUAGAGUGCAGAAGGGGCAACUGGAAUUCUCGGUGUAGCGGUGAAAUGCGUAGAUAUCGAGAGGAACACCUGCGGCGAAGGCGGGUGCUGGGCUGACACUGACGCUGAAGUGCGAAAGCUAGGGGAGCGAACGGG
rnacentral:rRNA from 1 species